GACGAACGCUGGCGGCGUGCUUAACACAUGCAAGUCGAGCGGUAAGGCCCCUUCGGGGGUACCCGAGCGGCGAACGGGUGAGUAACACGUGAGCAAUCUGCCCAUCACAUCGGGAUAACUCCGGGAAACCGAAGCUAAUACCGAAUACGACCACCUCCGGCAUCGGAUGUUGGUGGAAAGUUCCGGCGGUGAUGGAUGAGCUCGCGGCCUAUCAGCUUGUUGGUGGGGUAACGGCCCACCAAGGCUUCGACGGGUAGCCGGCCUGAGAGGGUGACCGGCCACACUGGGACUGAGACACGGCCCAGACUCCUACGGGAGGCAGCAGUGGGGAGUAUUGGACAAUGGGCGAAAGCCUGAUCCAGCAACGCCGCGUGAGGGAUGACGGCCUUCGGGUUGUAAACCUCUUUCAGCAGGGACGAAGCGAAAGUGACGGUACCUGCAGAAGAAGCACCGGCCAACUACGUG
rnacentral:rRNA from 1 species